rnacentral:lncRNA from 1 species
CGAUAGAAUUUGAACAAAUACGAAUGCCAAAAACAAAACGUUACUCAUUUGUUUCUGGGAUUUGGAACAUAAAAGUGUGACUGUGAGUGAACCGAUCUCAGUGUUUGCAGUGCCGGAAAAAGUCACAACUGAUACAAAAAAUGGCUGAAUUUAAGAAGAAAUGUCGACAGUACAGUGUUGAUUAUUUGAAAUUUGAUUUGCUUCUAUCAACGUAUUACAAGAGGAGCUACUUGAGCUCAUCACCAACGAGGAACUGAAGGUGAAAUUUUAGAAAGGCUAACAAACAUUUUGGCUGCAGGCAGAAAUCCCCGUAAAAUAUGCUGGGCUAUGGAAAAUUGUGAGAAAAUUUUUGAUAGGGUUUCCCUCGUCCUAUCUUGUCGAAAGAAGUUUUAGUGUCGUUACCAACCUUUUAACAAAACAAUGAGCAUAUUGAACAUCACAGAACGGGGAGAUUUGAGAUUCCUUCUUACAAAACUGAAGACAAAUAUGGAUAAUUUGCUGCCAAUUCAUCAAGUACAUCCGUCUCAUUAAAAGUAUGACUAUGAGAAAGUAUUGUUAAUUUACAUUUCAGAGUUCAUUGUUGACUGUUUGUAUUAAUAAAUGUUUAUAAUUUUGCAUAA